rnacentral:rRNA from 1 species
AUGAGUGGCGAACGGGUGAGUAACACGUGGGAAACCUACCUCUUAGCAGGGGAUAACAUUUGGAAACAAAUGCUAAUACCGUAUAAUAAUUAAAACCGCAUGGUUUUAGUUUAAAAGAUGGUCUUGCUAUCACUAAGAGAUGGUCCCGCGGUGUAUUAGUUAGUUGGUGAGGUAAUGGCUCACCAAGACAAUGAUACAUAGCCGAGUUGAGAGACUGACCGGCCACAAUGGGACUGAGACACGGCCCAUACUCCUACGGGAGGCAGCAGUAGGGAAUCUUCCACAAUGGACGAAAGUCUGAUGGAGCAACGCCGCGUGUGUGAUGAAGGGUUUCGGCUCGUAAAACACUGUUGUAAGAGAAGAAUGACAUUGAGAGUAACUGUUCAAUGUGUGACGGUAUCUUUACCAGAAAGGAACGGCUAAAUACGUGCCAGCAGCCGCGGUAAUACGUAUGUUCCAAGCGUUAUCCGGAUUUAUUGGGCGUAAAGCGAGCGCAGACGGUUAUUUAAGUCUGAAGUGAAAGCCCUCGGCUCAACCGAGGAAUUGCUUUGGAAACUGGAUAACUUGAGUGCAGUAGAGGAAAGUGGAACUCCAUGUGUAGCGGUGAAAUGCGUAGAUAUAUGGAAGAACACCAGUGGCGAAGGCGGCUUUCUGGACUGUAACUGACGUUGAGGCUCGAAAGUGUGGGUAGCAAACAGGAUUAGAUACCCUGGUAGUCCACACUGUAAACGAUGAGUGCUAGUUGUUCGAGGGUUUCCGCCCUUGAGUGACGAAGCUAACGCAUUAAGCACUCCGCCUGGGGAGUACGACCGCAAGGUUGAAACUCAAAGGAAUUGACGGGGACCCGCACAAGCGGUGGAGCAUGUGGUUUAAUUCGAAGCAACGCGAAGAACCUUACCAGGUCUUGACAUCCUUUGACCACUCCAGAGAUGGAGCUUUCCCUUCGGGGACAAAGUGACAGGUGGUGCAUGGUUGUCGUCAGCUCGUGUCGUGAGAUGUUGGGUUAAGUCCCGCAACGAGCGCAACCCUUAUUGUUAGUUGCCAGCAUUUAGUUGGGCACUCUAGCAAGACUGCCGGUGACAAACCGGAGGAAGGCGGGGAUGACGUCAAAUCAUCAUGCCCCUUAUGACCUGGGCUACACACGUGCUACAAUGGCAAGUACAACGAGUCGCCAACCCGCGAGGGUGCGCAAAUCUCUUAAAGCUUGUCUCAGUUCGGACUGUAGGCUGCAACUCGCCUACACGAAGUCGGAAUCGCUAGUAAUCGCGGAUCAGCACGCCGCGGUGAAUACGUUCCCGGGUCUUGUACACACCGCCCGUCACACCAUGAGAGUUUGUAACACCCAAAGUCGGUGAGGUAACCUU